rnacentral:rRNA from 2 species
UACGAAGGGGGCUAGCGUUGCUCGGAAUCACUGGGCGUAAAGCGCACGUAGGCGGAUCUUUAAGUCAGGGGUGAAAUCCUGGAGCUCAACUCCAGAACUGCCUUUGAUACUGAGGGUCUCGAGUCCGGGAGAGGUGAGUGGAACUGCGAGUGUAGAGGUGAAAUUCGUAGAUAUUCGCAAGAACACCAGUGGCGAAGGCGGCUCACUGGCCCGGUACUGACGCUGAGGUGCGAAAGCGUGGGGAGCAAACAGG